AAAAAAAUCAAAAAUCAACAUGGUUCACAUUUGAAGGAUUUCUCUCGCUCUCUGGGUCAUGAUUGUCUCCCAGUAAGGAGAUUAAGAUAGAACGCCCAAUCCGGGGAUUUAAAAAGAGAGAGAGAGGGAGAAAAGAUAGAAAACGACUCCAUGUCGGCCAUUCGAUGAGAGAUCCAAAACUGUACAGUAUUAUUAUUUUUAUCUGUAACUUUCGGAGACGUUUGAUUUACUUUGAAGUGGAAAUUAAUCUUGAUCACAGCCACUACUUCAAGUUUUCAGUGUUUGACAUUUUUGGGGGCUUUUUCGGGGGCGACACACAUACACACCCAAAAUUAUACAUUGGUAUGGAGUUUAUUUUGGAUAAAUUAAAAGGUAACAUUAAUGUGCAUGUGGAGCGAGUCACUCAUAAUUGCCCUCCGCUUUUUCUAGAUCAAAGUUUAUGAAGACUUUAUUACACGUCAUUAAAUAAAAAGUGCAAUCUGUGAUGCUAUUGCUCACUUUUUUUUUUUCAUUGGCGCUAAUAAGGUCUAAAUAUUGUUGCCCCACUUCCCGGCCCAGAAAGGAGAGCAGGUAUCUGGAUGGGAAGGCGGGGACGCUCAAACACCAACCCCAGCCUAUCGGCAAGUUUCUCAUCAAGUAAUCACAACCUGCAGAAACAAGACGGGCGUGACGGUUCCGAAGGCGGCCAGCAGGCCCACCCGCGUGACCAAGAAGGGAAGUUCCUGGAGGGCCACCCCGGCUGAGGACCGGAAGGGGGACUCCGGGGCGAGGACCGCCCGCAGGCAGGACAGGA